GUCCCUUCCUAAGCCAAGGCGCAGCACGCAGGUGCGGGCAGUAGACGCGCGCGUGCGCCCAGGGGCCGCUUAUCUCCAGGCCGCCUCUGCGGGUCCCCUGCAACGUGCGGGCGCGGCCAGAAGGAGGCCGGCGCGGAGCGGAGCCCGGGGAACGUGAGUCCUGACUGGCCGUUCCCCUCCGCUCUCACAGCCGGGCUCCGCGCUGCGGACAGAUGCAGAUACCGAGGCACUGAGACUGCCAGCAGCGUGCAAUGGUGGGAAUGUCCCCAAGGCAGAAGUGAAUCAAGAUUCUUGAAUGAUGAGAGCUCCAUUGAAAGAAAAAAGAUGCACUAAGUGAGGAAACCAACAUUGAACACCUACUCUACCAGGGAGAGGCAGAUCCAUAACCCAUCUGUUGACACCUGGACGGCACAGCGGAGGGAGCUGCACCUCUCUGCCCGGCCCUGCAGCCCCACUGUGGUUUUCCUGCCAAGCUGCAGUGGUUGCUGGGAAGAACACCUGGUGGGAACAUCAGAACAGGAAGGUACAUCCUUAACAGCAGUAAUUCAGGACUUAGCAAGCUCUCUGUUUCACCAACCAACCCUUUAAGUCAACAACCUCCUACUCAUCCAUUGGCACAUGUUUUCCUGAGUGAUAAUUGCCACUCUUCCCACAGGCAAAGAAUACCCAAACCCUUACCACUACUCCAUCCCUGUGAAAACUGCAACUCAGCUUCACCAGGAAAAAUAAAAGUCGUCGUAUUAAAAUGAAACUGAUUACACACCCUUCCUGACUAUAAAAAAUAAGAAUAGCAUUUCAUCAUAUACAGAGGCAUUAUCAGGUGGUCAUAGCUAUGUCAAAGUAUAUGUCAUAUGUCAUAGCUAUGUCAAAGCAUAUGUCAUAUGUCAUAGCUAUGUCAAAGCAUGUGUCAUAGCAUAGUCAAAGCAAUGGUUUUUCCAGUCAUCAUGUGGAUGUGAGAGUUGGACCAUAAAGAAGGCUGAAUGCUGAAGAAUUGAUGCUUUUGAAUUGUGGUGCUGGAGAAGACUCUUGAGAGUCUCUUGGACUGCAAGGAGAUCAAACCAGUCAGUCCUAAAGGAAAGCAACCCUGAACACUCAUUGGAAGGACUGAUGCUGAAGCUGAAGCUCCAAUACUUUGGCCACCUGAUCUGGAGAGACUUGUUGGCAAAGACUCUGAUGCUGGGAAAGAUUGAGGGCAGAGGAUGAGAUGGUUAGAUAACAUCAUUGACUCAAUAGACAUGAGUUUGAGCAAACUCUGGGAGAUAGUGGAGAACAGAGAAACCUAGUGUGCUGCAGUCCAUGGGAUUGAAAAAGAGUUGAACACAGUUAGCAACUGAACAACACAACAAAUCAGGUAGUGAUUAAAAUUCUAGAUUCUAGAGGUAGAGCUGUGUAUGGAUUACUGCUUUAAACCAGUAACUGCUCAUGUGACUAAGUAGCUUGGCUUCUGUAUGCCUGCUUCACAGGGUGUUGUUAGACUUGUAUGAAUAAGACAAUGUAUUGCAGUGUUUUGAUGGUAGAUAGUAGUCAGUUGUUUAAAAGAAAACUAUGUUAGAUGGUCCUGAUUACAGCUGAUAUGAAUACAAACAGCCAACAAGCAUUCACACAGCUCUAUUGUAAUAAUUUCUGCUCUAGGGAAAGAGAGAAAAAAAUUGGUUCCCAUCGCAAAAGACCACAUAUUAUAUGGUUGCAUUUACCUGUAUAUGAAAUGUCCUGACCAGACAAAUCCACAGAGACAGAAAGUGGAUUCAUGGUUGCCCAGGGCUGGGUAGCAGGACAUGAGAAGUCAUGAAGGGAAGUGACUGCUAACAGGUACAGGGUUUCUUUUUGGAGUGAUUAAAAGGUUCUUAAACUGAUUGUGGUGAUGGUUACACAACUCUGAAUACACUAAAAACCACUAAAUUGUCAACUUCAAAUGGGUAAAUUGUAUGGGAUGUGAGUUAUGUCUCAGUAAAGCUGUUUUUAAAAAUAUAUUAGUGCCCAUUUAUUGCUCAGUUAAUCUUUAUAAUAGCUCAUGGUUUUAUUCCACAGUCAAGAAGAUUGAUAUUAAGAUGUAUUAAAGCAACUUAAUCUGGCCCAUUUAAGUAGCAUGUAAUGGACCCAGGAUUUCCUAUUGAUUGAUUGACUGGAUCUUAGUUUCACAAAAUUGGAUUAAUCAUAAUCUUUGGUUCAUGGUACAUAAUCUCCUUUGAUCCACUAAAGGCCAUCUUUUAUUCUACUUUAUUUUAUGCAUGUAUGCAUGCUGAAUAAUACAAUAAAUACGUCUGAUGCCCCCCA
ensembl:lncRNA